AGUAGUUUCGAUCCGUGGCUCGAGGACGAACGCUGGCGGCGUGCUUAACACAUGCAAGUCGAACGAUGAACCAGGGCUUGCCCUGGGGAUUAGUGGCGAACGGGUGAGUAACACGUGGGCAACCUGCCCCAGACACCGGGAUAACCUCUCGAAAGAGUGGCUAAUACCGGAUAUGACCACUUCGGGCAUCCGACGGUGGUGGAAAGGAUUCUGGUCUGGGAUGGGCCCGCGGCCUAUCAGCUAGUUGGUGGGGGUAAUGGCCUACCAAGGCGACGACGGGUAGCCGGCCUGAGAGGGCGACCGGCCACACUGGGACUGAGACACGGCCCAGACUCCUACGGGAGGCAGCAGUGGGGAAUAUUGCGCAAUGGGCGAAAGCCUGACGCAGCGACGCCGCGUGAGGGACGAAGGUCUUCGGAUUGUAAACCUCUUUCAGCAGGGACGAAGCGAAAGUGACUGUACCUGCAGAAGAAGCACCGGCUAACUACGUG
rnacentral:rRNA from 1 species